GAUGAACGCUAGCUACAGGCUUAACACAUGCAAGUCGAGGGGAAACGAUAGAGAAAGCUUGCUUUUUCUAGGCGUCGACCGGCGCACGGGUGAGUAACGCGUAUCCAACCUGCCCAUCACUUGGGAUAACCCUGCGAAAGUAAGACUAAUACCCAAUGAUAUCUCUAGAAGACAUCUGAAAGGGAUUAAAGAUUUAUCGGUGAUGGAUGGGGAUGCGUCUGAUUAGCUUGUUGGCGGGGUAACGGCCCACCAAGGCGACGGUCAGUAGGGGUUCUGAGAGGAAGGUACCCCACAUUGGAACUGAGACACGGUCCAAACUCCUACGGGAGGCAGCAGUGAGGAAUAUUGGUCAAUGGGCGAGAGCCUGAACCAGCCAAGUAGCGUGCAGGAUGACGGCCCUAUGGGUUGUAAACUGCUUUUAUAAGGGAAUAAAGUGAGUCUCGUGAGACUUUUUGCAUGUACCUUAUGAAUAAGGACCGGCUAAUUCCGUGCCAGCAGCCGCAGUAA
rnacentral:rRNA from 1 species